GCCUUGUACUUGUUGUUGUUGUUGUUGUUUGUAGCACCCAAAAUUUUGCUCAUUUUAAAAAUAGGUGAAAAAUGAUUUAUUUAUGAAUUUUUGUGCUCAUGAAACAUAGGGGAAUAAUAUUUUUCAGUAAAUUAAAACUUAUCAUAGGGUUUAGUAACAUGUAUGUGCACUCAUGCUCGAGCAUCUAUAUUUUUGUACUAUGUGACUUUGAGUAAAGUUCAAAAGUAUUUCAAAACUGAUUUUAAAAAGGGACUUGAAAUAGCUUUUGAAUAAAAAAAACAAAAGAAAAAAAAGAACCUGAUCCUUGGCUACUUUGGAGCCCAGCUCUUCCCCUUCUGCACGGCCCAGCGCUCUCCCCUCCCCUCUCGGCCUCGGCCCAAGUCAGCAGAAGCCCAGCAAAAGCCGCUACCCACCUCCCAGCCCAGCAGCGCAGUUCCCUCUUCCUUCCUUUCACUGACACCCGGACCCACACGGCAAUGUCUCAUCCCUCCUUUCCAUCUUCCUCCCCGAGCCGUGAAGGAAGCGGACGCCUCCUACCGGCAGCAAACUCCGAUUUUCCCAGGAUUUGGCAUGUAGAGCGCUCAACCGAGCCCUAUUUAACCGAGUCUCGGUCCCGUAGCUCCCUUUUAGCCCCCAAGCUCAAUAAUAUGAGCCCUAGCCUUGUGCCUCGUUGGUUCUUGGUCUCGCCGAACUCCAAAAUCGAGCCGCCACCUCGCAUGCCAUCUCUGUUUUCUCCUCGACCCAACCAAGUGCAUAAAUGAGAUCGCGGUGAGCUUCUCCUCCGCCUGGUGCUUUCUCUUUGUUCCUUAGCGCUCGGAGUCGCGAGAUCCGCUAUCUACGGUGAGCUCUGGGUGGGCAUCCAUGGCGCCGCCGUGUCUAGCCUCGCCGCCGGCCGGCCGGAAUUAGCUCCGGCCCCUCUAAGCCCUCCAAAUCGCGAUCUACG
rnacentral:lncRNA from 1 species